rnacentral:lncRNA from 1 species
GAAAAAUUAGAACAAAGCAAGACUUCAACUCAACCCUCCAGACCACAAGACUCUGCAGCUACUUAUCCAGCAUCUGGGACUCAUGACUCUCAUCUGGGCUCCAAAGGUCUUGGUUUGCCCUGCUCCCCCAGCUCUUCUACCCACAGCACACAAAGCUUAUCUCUUGGGCCAGCUCCAUUCCCACCUGCUGUUCACGUUGGAAGAUGGUCUACUGUCCUGAAAUCAGCACCACUGUAGAAUCUCCACUGUACCUUAGACUUCAUCUUCAGAACGUCACAAAAACAUCUUUUCAGGGCCUGGCCUCAGUGAUCUUUUGAAGCCUUGUCUCAAGACUCCAUUGGUCCCUCACUGUUGCAUCUCAUAUGCCUAUAAAACCAGUAUUCACCUUGGCUGCUGCAGCAAACUUCUACAACAAGCUUCAGAUGGAGUCUGGCCCCUUUGGAUCAAAGCUACAGUGAUGUCAGUAUGUCUAGGUGGAUGACUAUGGGAAAAUAUUUUCAGCGGGAAGUUUUAUUUGAUCAGGGAAUUCUUUGGACAGCAUUUUUAGCUCAGGCUACCUCUUUUCAAAUGAAGUUGCAUGUCCACCAAUUGGAACCAUUAGUGGGCAGGGCCUUACCACUGGGGCACGUGUCCUGUUGCCUCAUCUUUUUGGUUGCUUUUUCUCCCUCAUUAUCUGAAACUUCACAGUCACUUACUGCUCUUCUCAACAAGUCGGCAUUUGUCAUAUUUUUCUGCUGCAUUUGUCACUCUCUCCCAUAGCAGAACCUGGUUAAGAGCAGUGAACAGUAUCAUGACAUGGCCUAAACCCUAUCCUGUCUUGUGAUUUACUCUGCCAACGAAUUAGUACAUUACUUUGGAAUUCUGCCUCAAAGUCGGUAGAAUGAAGCCAAGCUGCUCCUCCUCCCCCUCCCCCUCCUCUUCCCCCUCCUCCUCCUCCUCAAAAAAUGUGUGUGUGUGGUGGGGGGUAGUCAAAGCACAAUUUAAUCCAUUUGGGUUUUUUCCUUCCACAUUUACAUGCGUUCUGACGUCAAACUCUUACAGCGGGCUCUCAUGACAGGCACUUUUCCUGCUGAGCCUUCCCUGUCUGCGUGUCUCUCAGCACUGUUGUCUUCUGACUCCCACUAGUGUGGCCCAUUAAGCUUACAGCAGUCUAAGGCGUCUGUAGUCCACAGUUCCACAUUCUUCCACAUUCCUUCUGAAAACCCAUCCUCAAGGCCUACAAGUCACACCAUCAGGCUUAUCAUAGCAGAACACUUCAUCCCAAUUUUCUCUACCAUUUGCUGUUCUCACUGCUGUGACUAAACCCCAGCCAAGAAGAGACUUCAGGGAGGAGGGGUUUAUUUUGGCCUAUGGUUUAAGAUGCAGACCAUCCUGACAGGGAAGGCGUCACAGUUGGGAUAGGAGGUUGUUGGUCGGCAGGAAGCAGAGAACAGACAGGAAGUGGAGCUAGACUCACCUCCUGUGACCCACAGCCUCCAGUGAGGUUCCACCUCCUGCAGUUUCCACAACCUUCCAAACAGCGCCACCAUCUGGGGAGCAAGCGCUCGAGCACGUGAGCUCUGGGGCACACUUUCACACGGAAACCACAGCAGAUUUGCCGCGAUGGAAAAUAGAAAGGCAAAGUGUGUUAGGCUCUUGCUAUUUAGCACAGAGAAGCAACAGACAAAAUGUGCUUGUAGCAAAAACACUUGCAUCUUAAAAGCAAGGCUGGAUGGGAAGAGAAACAGAUUGGGUUUAUAAAAGUUACAUUUGCAUGGAGUUAAGUCCACAGCAAAAACUAUACAUUCUACAGAACUGUAAAGCAGCCAAAGGGUGUGGUCAGAACUGUUACCAUAAGGCAGGAAAGGGAAUAAGCAGGAUGCACGAGGCAGAGUGGGAGGGGUCUCGGCUGGACC